GACGACGAUGCCAAUGAUUGGGAGGGAGGGAGCGCGGGUGCGGCGCGUACGGGGGGAGGCGGGCACGACGCGAGGUGAGGUGGAUGAUGACAAGCGGAAGGAAGCGGGCCGCGACAAGAUCCACGAUCCUAGGAGACGCCGAUAAUUUCAAGGCGAUAAUGCCCUUGUGCUGGUGGAACCUGCCAUGAUAAGGAGGAUAGGAGAAAAUGAGUAGUGCAGUAACUAACUUGCUCAUCAUUUUUUAUGGCCUACAGUACCAGCCCUCCAAUCCCUGUCAUACAUGUGGCACUACACUUUAAGAUCAGAGGAGCAGAAUCACGUGAAGGGCAUGUGCUGGCUUGGAUUCUUGGAUGAAUGGCAUGGUCAUCGUGUCUGCUCUUGCAUCUGACACGACAGAUAUGGCUCACAUAUUCCCAUGUUGGGGAACCAACCUUUCCACAUGGCUAUUUGUACUGUGUCCAUUUGUUUUUGAGUUGGCCUGACUUGGGAAGGCGACAUGGUGCCAUUUCAGUACUAUUAGCCACUUUUUAUGAUGACAGUUUUGCUUCAUCACUUGGAGGCUCUGUGUAAGUACAACUGCAUAACAUUUUUUGUGCACCCUUAGUUUUUUUUUUAUAAAUGCAACAUCAUUAAUACGCGUCUAUCCUGAUGAACUCGUUAGAUUAUAUAGUACUGUAUGAAUAUCAGUAAAGGAGUACCAUCUGUUUCUAUCACAUGGAGGGUGCUCUGAUUCAGCUACUUUGCACUAGCUGGCGAUUCCAAUACUAUAAUAUAAGCUAGUAUUGAGUUGUUCGAGUUUUAUGAUCCUGCAAUCUCCUUUUUGCAGUAUAAAAAAUGUGACACGAAGACUAAAUAUCUUUUUUUUGGAAAGCUCCCCAAGAGUGAAGAAUUAUUUUUGUAUCUGUUGGAUUGAUUGUGCAAGGAAAGAAGGUUCCUGGAGAUUCACUUAGUUGACUAGCAGCGGAGAGGUGGAGAUUAUUGGCGAGAUGUACAAGCAGCCGUGGAUUGCCCCUAGGAGGGGAACCGGAUUGCACAAAUUAACAAACAAAAGGACUACAGUAGAGAAAGGACAAGAGAUGAUUCUCUGGUAUUAAGACAUCAACUUGUCCCACCCACUCUACUUCCCCUCCCUUUUAUACUCGCAAUAUCCAUUUUGAAUUCAUAUCGUCCUGCAACAUGCAUCCAACCAUCCUAAAGUCCGAUUCCAUUGUUCUUACCAUUUGCUACUGCGAAGUCCUUCUCUUUGCAUGCUAAAAUCACAUGAAUGAUGAGUCUGGAAAAGAAAGGUAGCCUGGUAUGAUCAUUGCAUGCAGAAAUCUAAUCUUGUACACUAGUGUAUACUUUUGCAGCAUGUCGUGAAUAUAUAUCACGCACAAGGAUCGUUAACAAAUGCCAAUGCGGUCCCAUGCAGUCCGAUGUUUUGCACCAUGCUGUGCAACGGUCCUAACGUGAUGGUAAACUUACCUUCCUCCUGAAAACUCGCUCAUGAGUUGCUCAAUUGUUUACAUUUCACGCCUUUUCAUGCUGCCACCGUGAUGGUAAAGGUGUUUCUAG